UACAGAGGUCUCAAGCGUUGUUCGGAUUCAUUGGGCGUAAAGGGUGCGUAGGCGGCGCGGUAAGUCGGAUGUGAAAUCUCGGAGCUUAACUCCGAAACUGCAUUCGAUACUGCCGUGCUUGAGGACUGGAGAGGAGACUGGAAUUUACGGUGUAGCGGUGAAAUGCGUAGAUAUCGGGAGGAACACCAGUGGCGAAGGCGACUUCCUGGCCUGUUCUUGACGCUGAGGCGCGAAAGCCAGGGGAGCAAACGGG
rnacentral:rRNA from 1 species